rnacentral:misc_RNA from 1 species
GACGUAGGGGGCGAGCGUUGUCCGGAAUCACUGGGUGUAAAGGGUGUGUAGGCGGGGCAGUUAGUCAUAGGUGAAAUCCUGCGGCUUAACCGUAGAAUUGCCUUUGAUACUGCUGUUCUUGAGUCCUGGAGAGGUCAUUGGAAUUCGUGGUGUAGCGGUGAAAUGCGUAGAUAUCACGAGGAACACCAGAGGUGUAGACGGAUGACUGGACAGGUACUGACGCUGAGGCACGAAAGCGUGGGGAGCAAACAGG